rnacentral:tRNA from 1 species
GAGAGUAUAGCUCAGUGGUAGGGCUCAUGCUUAGCAAGCAUGAGAUCCUGGAUUCAAUCCCUAGUACCUCCA